rnacentral:misc_RNA from 1 species
AGGGCACCACGCUGGUGGCGG